rnacentral:lncRNA from 1 species
CGCACACAGAGGACCAUAACACUAAGGUCUUGAGUAUGAAUCCUAGGACUAGAAAACACAUAUUUUUUUUGUUUUUUAUUACUUACUAUUAUCUGUUUCGGCUAGACAGUGUUAAGGGUGUCCUUAUCAGUGUCAAUUGUCCACUGUCGGAGCCAAAUCCGUGAGAUGGAGGUUUUGACCCGACUAUGAAUAUGGAAUUUGGUGUACCAUAGGUUCUCCUUCCCCCGAGUGUCCUCAGCGGGGCGACUCAGGGGCAACCACACCGCUGGCCUACCCCUCUCCCUCCCGGUCUCCUCUCCAACCACUGUCAUUGCCUUCUCGCGCGCAGCAGUGGAGGACAGCGGUGGGCCCAAAAAUGGUGCCCCAUUUGCACCCCUCUUCCUCACCUUGCUCCUUUCAUCUUCCCACUCCACCCUCUCCUUCUCUGGCUUGGAACGACGGUGGCUGACCGAAUCCAUCCACCUAGGACCGGAUCUAGCGCGCAGGUGGUUGGGGCAGCCUACUCUAGUUGUCGUGGCGGUCUCUAGCUGGGC